rnacentral:rRNA from 1 species
GUGAACGCUGGCGGUAGGCCUCACACCUGCCAGUCGCACGGCAGCACAGUAAGAGCUUGCUCUUACGGGUGGCGAGUGGCGGACGGGUGAGGAAUACAUCGGAAUCUACUUUUUCGUGGGGGAUAACGUAGGGAAACUUACGCUAAUACCGCAUACGACCUACGGGUGAAAGCAGGGGAUCUUCGGACCUUGCGCGAUUGAAUGAGCCGAUGUCGGAUUAGCUAGUUGGCGGGGUAAAGGCCCACCAAGGCGACGAUCCGUAGCUGGUCUGAGAGGAUGAUCAGCCACACUGGAACUGAGACACGGUCCAGACUCCUACGGGAGGCAGCAGUGGGGAAUAUUGGACAAUGGGCGCAAGCCUGAUCCAGCCAUACCGCGUGGGUGAAGAAGGCCUUCGGGUUGUAAAGCCCUUUUGUUGGGAAAGAAAAGCAGCAGGUUAAUACCCCGCUGUUCUGACGGUACCCAAAGAAUAAGCACCGGCUAACUUCGUG